rnacentral:rRNA from 1 species
AAGUCGAGCGGGGAAAGGUAGCUUGCUACCUAACCUAGCGGCGGACGGGUGAGUAAUGCUUAGGAAUCUGCCUAUUAGUGGGGGACAACAUUCCGAAAGGAAUGCUAAUACCGCAUACGCCCUACGGGGGAAAGCAGGGGAUCUUCGGACCUUGCGCUAAUAGAUGAGCCUAAGUCAGAUUAGCUAGUUGGUGGGGUAAAGGCCUACCAAGGCGACGAUCUGUAGCGGGUCUGAGAGGAUGAUCCGCCACACUGGGACUGAGACACGGCCCAGACUCCUACGGGAGGCAGCAGUGGGGAAUAUUGGACAAUGGGCGAAAGCCUGAUCCAGCCAUGCCGCGUGUGUGAAGAAGGCCUUUUGGUUGUAAAGCACUUUAAGCGAGGAGGAGGCUACUUAGAUUAAUACUCUAGGAUAGUGGACGUUACUCGCAGAAUAAGCACCGGCUAACUCUGUGCCAGCAGCCGCGGUAAUACAGAGGGUGCGAGCGUUAAUCGGAUUUACUGGGCGUAAAGCGUGCGUAGGCGGCUUUUUAAGUCGGAUGUGAAAUCCCUGAGCUUAACUUAGGAAUUGCAUUCGAUACUGGGAAGCUAGAGUAUGGGAGAGGAUGGUAGAAUUCCAGGUGUAGCGGUGAAAUGCGUAGAGAUCUGGAGGAAUACCGAUGGCGAAGGCAGCCAUCUGGCCUAAUACUGACGCUGAGGUACGAAAGCAUGGGGAGCAAACAGGAUUAGAUACCCUGGUAGUCCAUGCCGUAAACGAUGUCUACUAGCCGUUGGGGCCUUUGAGGCUUUAGUGGCGCAGCUAACGCGAUAAGUAGACCGCCUGGGGAGUACGGUCGCAAGACUAAAACUCAAAUGAAUUGACGGGGGCCCGCACAAGCGGUGGAGCAUGUGGUUUAAUUCGAUGCAACGCGAAGAACCUUA